UACAGAGGUCCCCAAGCGUUGUUCGGAUUCACUGGGCGUAAAGGGUAGCGUAGGUGGUUGGGUAAGUCUGAUGUGAAGUCUCCGAGCUCAACUCGGAAACUGCAUCGGAUACUAUUUAACUAGAGGGUUGGAGGGGCUGGGAAUACUGGUGUAGCAGUGAAAUGCGUGAUAUCAAGUGGAACACCACUGGCGAAGGCGAGUCCCUGGACCAAUCCCUGACACUGAGGCACGAAAGCU
rnacentral:rRNA from 1 species